rnacentral:rRNA from 1 species
AGUACGGCGAGUGAACCGGGAAGAGCUCAAAUUUGAAAUCUGGCGUCCUCAGGGCGUCCGAGUUGUAAUCUAUAGAGGCGUUUUCCGUGCCGGACCGUGUCCAAGUCCCUUGGAACAGGGUAUCAAAGAGGGUGACAAUCCCGUACUUGACACGACUACCGGUGCUCUGUGAUACGUCUUCUACGAGUCGAGUUGUUUGGGAAUGCAGCUCAAAAUGGGUGGUGAGUUCCAUCUAAAGCUAAAUAUUGGCGAGAGACCGAUAGCGAACAAGUACCGUGAGGGAAAGAUGAAAAGCACUUUGGAAAGAGAGUUAAACAGUACGUGAAAUUGUUGAAAGGGAAACGAUUGAAGUCAGUCGUGACCGAGAGGCUCAGCCGGCUCUGCCGGUGUAUUCCCCUCGGUCGGGUCAACAUCAGUUUUGUCCGGUGGAUAAGGGCGGCAGGAAUGUGGCACCCUCGGGUGUGUUAUAGCCUGCUGUCGCAUACACCGGGUGAGACUGAGGAACGCAGCUCGCCUUUAUGGCCGGGGCCCGCCCACGUACGAGCUUAGGAUGUUGACGUAAU